CCUGUUUAUUUUGUUAUUUCCAGGAGGCGGUCCUAUCAGUGAUUGACAGCUCUCUCUGUAUACACAGUCAUAGAGGGAAGGGUGUCAAUCACCGAUAGGACCUUCUCCUGGACUUCAAAAGCCCAGAAGGAGCAGGAAUGUAUAUGAAUAAAACAAGUUAUUUUGAACCUUUUCCCAUAACAC